UUAAAUGCUUGGUACUCUUUAAGUGUCCUUCCUGCGGUUGUUAAAGGUUGGUUAACCAUUUGACUGACUCCUCCUGCUUUUCAUUCUUCUAACCCGACGUGGCUGAGUAACGACAGAGGAGGAGAGAGUCGGAACGAGACUACUGGUAACAGAACCUCAAGAGAAACCAAGCUUUUGGUGACCAAGGGGAGCAUAUUCUUGGUUUCCCAUUUUAUAUUGAAGAAGUAUGCAUCUCAUGCAUUGCUAAAAGAUAAUCGUCCAGAUCCCAGGCAUUUCUCAUCAUUAUGGAUACAAGGAAAUUAUUCUGCCUUCGCCAUCAUCGCAGUCUUCAUGCUUGGAUUGAUACGACGAGGAAGAAAAGCUGAUAUUGAGCCAGGAAGACCCUUAGAUUUGGAAAUCUUCAUAAUACAUUUACUUAAGAUGUUAUCUUGAUUACUUAAAAGUUAAUAUUGCGUUGUGUUCUGUUACAUUAAUUACUUAUAUUUACAUAAUAGCAUAGUUUCUUUCAUAAAUAAAUUUUUUUUUAUAAA